GACGAACGCUGGCGGCGUGCCUAAUACAUGCAAGUAGAACGCUGAAGGAGGAGCUUGCUCUUCUGGAUGAUUUGCGAACGGGUGAGUAACGCGUAGGUAACCUGCCUGGUAGCGGGGGAUAACUAUUGGAAACGAUAGCUAAUACCGCAUAACAGUAGAUGUUGCAUGACAUUUACUUAAAAGGUGCAAUUUCAUCACUACCAGAUGGACCUGCGUUGUAUUAGCUAGUUGGUGGGGUAACGGCUCACCAAGGCGACGAUACAUAGCCGACCUGGGAGGGUGAUUGGCCAAAAUGGGAAUGAGACACGGCCCAGAACCCUACGGGAGGCAGCAGUAGGGAAUCUUCGGCAAUGGACGGAAGUCUGACCGAGCAAAGCCGGCGGAGGGAAGAAGGUUUUCGGAUCGUAAAGAUCCGUUGUAAGAGAAGAACGAGUGUGAGAGUGGAAAGUUCACACUGUGACGGUAUCUUACCAGAAAGGGACGGCUAACUACGUG
rnacentral:rRNA from 1 species